AAGNGUAGCAUCCAAAAGGAUAUUUCAAAC
rnacentral:piRNA from 1 species